UUGGGUUUAAUACUUUACUCCAAGGAUAAGAUUUUUCUGUCGGUUAGUGCCAAUGGUUGACGAGUUGGGGAUAGCGCCGGAUGGGUGCGUUGCGGGCAUUGGGAAAAAUGGUGGUUACUUGGGUGUAGUCGGGUGAUAUUCAGAGAAAAUAAUUCAGAAUUGCUGUAAAGGACUAAAAAUUCAAGAUCCAGCACACUGUUCUUAACAGCGAAUGAAACAGCAUGAACGAUUAAAGGAAUAGUCUACUGACACUAAGAUGCUGCUAUCCUUAUUUUGGAUGAGAAAAAUGGAUACCUUAAAAUGAGUGUAAUGUAAACUUCCAAUGCUAUGAAUCCGAUAUUCUGGCAUUGGUUGUAUAAGACUAAAUGUUUCAUGCAGAGAUUUAUUUUAGUGUCACAAACAAAAUUAUAAAAGAAUAUAAAUGAAGGUGUGUCUACUACCAAGAUUGCAACAAUGUUGAAAAGUUGUUUACCAAACAUCAAGGCAACUGACAGUGCCCAAUGGAGGUGGGAAUGACUUUUAAGGACUGUGGUAGCAGGGCCGAUGGAGCUUGCGCAGUCUGCAGAGCCAAAUUUUAGACCUACAUGAAAAUGUAUUUAAUCGAAUAAAAAAAAAGUUUCAACUAUUCAAAACAUUA